CCUACGGGGGGCAGCAGUAGGGAAUCUUCCGCAAUGGACGAAAGUCUGACGGAGCAACGCCGCGUGAGUGAUGAAGGCUUUCGGGUCGUAAAACUCUGUUGUUAGGGAAGAACAAGUGCUAGUUGAAUAAGCUGGCACCUUGACGGUACCUAACCAGAAAGCCACGGCUAACUACGUGCCAGCAGCCGCGGUAAUACGUAGGUGGCAAGCGUUAUCCGGAAUUAUUGGGCGUAAAGCGCGCGCAGGUGGUGUAGUCACGGUGAUGUGCAAGAACAGGGAGCGACCGUGGAGGGUCAUUGGAAACUGGGAGACUUGAGUGCAGAAGAGGAAAGUGGAAUUCCAUGUGUAGCGGUGAAAUGCGUAGAGAUAUGGAGGAACACCAGUGGCGAAGGCGACCUUCUGGUCUGUAACUGACACUGAGGCGCGAAAGCGUGGGGAGCAAACAGGAUUAGAUACCCGUGUAGUC
rnacentral:rRNA from 1 species